rnacentral:rRNA from 1 species
GAUGAACGCUGACAGAAUGCUUAACACAUGCAAGUCGAUGGGGAAGUGGUGCUUGCACCAUGGCAACCAUGGCGGACGGGUGAGUAACGCGUAAGGGACUUACCUGCAGGACUGGGAUAACAGGGGGAAACUCCUGACAAGACCGGAUAAUGUCAUGGAGCUGCAUGGCUUUAUGAUGAAAGGAGACGCCUGCGGAGAGCCUUGCGUCCUAUUAGCUAGUUGGUGAGGUAAUGGCUCACCAAGGCGAAGAUAGGUAGCCGGCCUGAGAGAGUGGACGGCCACAAGGGGACUGAGAUACGGCCCUUACUCCUACGGGAGGCAGCAGUGGGGAAUAUUGGACAAUGGGGGCAACCCUGAUCCAGCAAUUCUGUGUGCACGAAGAAGGUUUUCGGAUUGUAAAGUGCUUUCAGCAGGGAAGAAGUAAGUGACGGUACCUGCAGAAGAAGCGACGGCUAAAUACGUG